rnacentral:rRNA from 1 species
GGGACACGUGGUAUCCUGUCUGAAUAUGGGGGGACCAUCCUCCAAGGCUAAAUACUCCUGACUGACCGAUAGUGAACCAGUACCGUGAGGGAAAGGCGAAAAGAACCCCGGCGAGGGGAGUGAAAAAGAACCUGAAACCGUGUACGUACAAGCAGUGGGAGCACGCUUAGGCGUGUGACUGCGUACCUUUUGUAUAAUGGGUCAGCGACUUAUAUUCUGUAGCAAGGUUAACCGAAUAGGGGAGCCGAAGGGAAACCGAGUCUUAACUGGGCGUUAAGUUGCAGGGUAUAGACCCGAAACCCGGUGAUCUAGCCAUGGGCAGGUUGAAGGUUGGGUAACACUAACUGGAGGACCGAACCGACUAAUGUUGAAAAAUUAGCGGAUGACUUGUGGCUGGGGGUGAAAGGCCAAUCAAACCGGGAGAUAGCUGGUUCUCCCCGAAAGCUAUUUAGGUAGCGCCUCGUGAAUUCAUCUC